UACGGGGGGAGCAAGCGUUGUUCGGAUUUACUGGGCGUAAAGGGCGCGUAGGCGGCCACCGCAAGUCGACUGUGAAAUCUCCGGGCUUAACCCGGAAAGGUCAGCCGAUACUGCGGGCUAGAGUGCAGAAGGGGCAACUGGAAUUCUCGGUGUAGCGGUGAAAUGCGUAGAUAUCUGGAGGAACACCGGUGGCGAAGGCGGCAUCCUGGACCGGUAUUGACGCUGAGGAGCGAAAGCCAGGGGAGCAAACGGG
rnacentral:rRNA from 1 species